GACGAACGCUGGCGGCGUGCUUAACACAUGCAAGUCGAACGGUGAAGCGCCUUCCUUUUUGGUGGGUGUGGAUGAGUGGCGAACGGGUGAGUAACACGUGAGUAACCUGCCCCCUUCUUCUGGAUAACCGCAUGAAAGUGUGGCUAAUACGGGAUAUUCUGGGUCUGUCGCAUGAUGGGUCUGGGAAAGAUAUUGUUUCGGUGGGGGAUGGGCUCGCGGCCUAUCAGCUUGUUGGUGGGGUGAUGUCCUACCAAGGCGGUGACGGGUAGCCGGCCUGAGAGGGUGGACGGUCACACUGGGACUGAGACACGGCCCAGACUCCUACGGGAGGCAGCAGUGGGGAAUAUUGCACAAUGGGCGCAAGCCUGAUGCAGCGACGCCGCGUGAGGGAUGGAGGCCUUCGGGUUGUGAACCUCUUUCGCCAGUGAAGCAGGCCUGCCUCGUUUGUGGGUGGGUUGACGGUAGCUGGAUAAGAAGCGCCGGCUAACUACGUG
rnacentral:rRNA from 1 species